rnacentral:rRNA from 1 species
GGAGUUAGCCGGUGCUUCUUCUGUGAGUGAUGUCCUUCCUGCCGGCUAUUAACCCGCAGGCCUUCUUCCUCACUGAAAGUGCUUUACAACCCGAAGGCCUUCUUCACACACGCGGCAUGGCUGGAUCAGGGUUGCCCCCAUUGUCCAAUAUUCCCCACUGCUGCCUCCCGUAGGAGUCUGGGCCGUGUCUCAGUCCCAGUGUGGCUGAUCAUCCUCUCAGACCAGCUACGGAUCGUCGCCUUGGUGAGCCGUUACCUCACCAACCAGCUAAUCCGACAUAGGCUCAUCCGAUAGCGCGAGGCCCGAAGGUCCCCCGCUUUCCCCCGUAGGGCGUAUGCGGUAUUAGCCUGGGUUUCCCCAGGUUAUCCCCCACUACCGGGCAGAUUCCUAUGCAUUACUCACCCGUCCGCCGCUCGCCACCAGGGAGCAAGCUCCCCGUGCUGCCGCUCGACUUGCAUGUGUUAGGCCUGCCGCCAGCGUUCAAUCUGAGCCAGNGACACUAACUCGUACGUACGUAGGACGGGCGGUCGGUCGGACGGACGGCGACUAGUAG